rnacentral:rRNA from 1 species
UACAGAGGUGGCAAGCGUUGUUCGGAAUUACUGGGCGUAAAGGGCGCGUAGGCGGCCUUCUAAGUCAGACGUGAAAUCCCCCGGCUUAACCUGGGAACUGCGUCUGAUACUGGGAGGCUAGAGUGCGGGAGAGGGAUGCGGAAUUCCAGGUGUAGCGGUGAAAUGCGUAGAUAUCUGGAGGAACACCGGUGGCGAAGGCGGCAUCCUGGACCAAUAUUGACGCUGAGGAGCGAAAGCCAGGGGAGCAAACGGG